GACUUGGGAAUCCCCCUCCCUCAGUCCCGAUCCCGCUUUCCUUUGGCGUUUCACCCCAGCGACCCCAACCUUACUCUUGCAGCUGCCAGCAGCCUCGAAGCCACCUGGGACUGCACAGUAUGUCUGUGUGUGCCUUGAUCACAUCACCCCCUGGACCUCCAGUGGUAUGUACGCUAUGCUUGGGGACCCUGGUCUGUCUGCCUGUCUGUGGCACAUGCUAAGAACUCCCUGGGCCUGGGAUUCCCCAACAUGGAGCCUGUUGGGGCUCCCUGGGGCAGAAGGACUAGAGAUCAUCUCCUGGCUUGGGCAGGGGGAUGGGCAGCUUGUGAGGGCCUGGCAAGGAUGAGGGUGGGGAAUAGAGCAGGCCACCUACCAGCUUGCCCCGCUGCUGGGCUGAGCGGCUGUCCCGCAAUGUGUACACAUUCCCACAGACCGAGAUCUCCCGCCAGACACCUGGGGCUGAGUCCUCGGAGAAGCCGCCCGCCGGGUGCAUCACCAGAACACCAUUGGUGGUCAGUCCAUCCAUCAGGCCAUCUGGGGUCCGCCAUUUGGCCGCCCGCUCCUGGGACCACAUGAGGGAUCAGAUCACAUCCACCAGGGGCCCCCCAGCAGGCUAUGUGCCAGAGGCACUGCCCCCCUACCCUCAAGUUCAGAGGUGGCUCAGAGAGGACUGGCAUUGAAGCUGCAUGACUUAAGUGUCUCUCUGGGCCUCACUUUGCUCAUCAGUUAGCUGGGGUUGCUAAGCCCUGCCAGGACCAUCAUUUGGAUUACUGUGGGCUGGUUCAUCACAUCAAGAUGCUGCACCUCCCAAGCCUACCCCUUGCCUCACAGAUGAAGAGUUGGUCCCUUCCUGGGGCUCACUCACUCCAAGGAAGAUGUUGCUAGAGGCGUCGAAGCCAGCUGCAUAGAUGCGGGCAGUAUAGGGCGGCCGGCGGUCACAGAGGAUGCGGCAGGCGUAGCGAGAGAUGGUGCUCUGGGCGGAAGGGCCCUCGGCAGCCCCUCCUCCAGGGGAUGUGUCUGUUACCACGAAGUCAAUCAUGUUCUCUGUGGAGCGGCCAAUCUGUGAGGACAGGGAAAGCAAGCAGCGACUGCAUGUACAUAGGGGACUCUCAUAGGCCUCCCCACCCACAGUUCCGGCAGCUGCUCUGUAUGCAAGGUCACCAAAAAAGGAGGCUGCCAGGCCCUAAGAAGGGGGCAGCACCAACUCCUUAGACCUUCUAGGUUCCCAGGUGGGGUCUCCAAGUCCAAGAAGCCAUUGCCUGGAGCAGCUUCUCCUUCUCUGUGGCCCCCACAGCACUAGGGAUCACCCCAUUCAAUAAAUACAAGUUGAUUUGCUGAUAGAAUUA